UAAAUACUUUUAUUGCAAAAUAUAAUGCAAUUUCGUGUCAUGCUUAGCAUAUAAUAAGUAAUUUACUUAAUAUGCACAUAAUAAUAAUUUAAUAUUAUUAUGAAAACUAGCAUUUGAAAUACAUUAAUUAAACUAAUUAAUAGUUCAAUUAAUUAAAAUAGGGCAGCUCAAUUAAUUUAAUUAAUCAAGACAACCCAAAGUUUUAAAAUAAAACUGACCCAAUGAUAUUUAAAUAAGGGCUCAACUGAAAAUAACCCAAUCAGCCCAACUGAAACAAAAAUUAAACAACACUCGGCCCAACUGAUUCGGCCCACAACUCAAAGCCCAACCCUCAAGCCCUAGCCCAACACUCAUCCUUUCUUCUCCCCCCUAUCCGUCACGCAACACACACACAUCAGUCACCUCCUUCCCUCAACUCUCGACUGCUCCCCUCG
rnacentral:lncRNA from 1 species